AGCCAAAUAGUUUAAUAAAACAUUAAGUUGCAAACUUAAAAAUACAAUUCUUGAACCUGUUUUGGCUU
rnacentral:tRNA from 1 species